UACAGAGGGUGCGAGCGUUAAUCGGAAUUACUGGGCGUAAAGGGCGCGUAGGUGGUUGAUUAAGUCGGAUGUGAAAGCCCUCGGCUUAACUGAGGAAGUGCACCCGAAACUGAGUAGCUAGAGUACGAAAGAGGGUCGCGGAAUUCCCGGUGUAGAGGUGAAAUUCGUAGAUAUCGGGAGGAACACCGGUGGCGAAGGCGGCGACCUGGGUCGAGACUGACGCUGAGGCGCGAAAGCGUGGGGAGCAAACAGG
rnacentral:rRNA from 1 species